UCCUAGGGUCAAUGUCUUUCAACAGUAGCUGUUAAAUAGCAUUUGGACAAGUGUGAUUCAAGAAAUUGACUUUUGUUGGCUAGCUUUUAUUAUUAUCUUUUGAAUCAUAAACUAAUAUCUAUCAGUUGUGUGGCCCACUGUCUAAUCUUCAGCAAAUGAAUUAGCUGUGAUCCUUUGUUAGAUCUAGAUAUUCAUUGGAGUUUCAGCUUCGCUCCUUUAACAUGAUUGAAGGCGGUCUUUAGAAAAUGUGAUAGGUGGGGUUGUGGACAAUGCUUGAGUAUGUGAAGCUGGCUUGAAAGCAGUUCAAUCUGGACUUGCAUAGGUACAGUGAUUCAACUGUUGUCUUGAACUACUUCAUCUGAACUCUACUGCUUCUUCUGCCAACAAGAUUAUGCAUAUCUUUUGUCCUUUCCUGUGGAACUGUUCCUAGUGGUCAUUGUUGUGCAGGCUGAAGAGGAUGAGAGUUAUAUCUUUAUAUCAUCAAUGCUCAGCUUAUUGGCCAAGUAUGGUGUACGGCCACAUGCAAUAAAUGCUUCUGCUAUUGCUAAUAGUGCAAAGGUUGUUUGGAAUGUUGUUCAAAAAUCCACUAUUGAAAAUCCCAACUUUCAAGAAUCUAUGCUGCCAAACGACUGCUUGGAAAAAACUGCUAAAUGCAGCAAUAGGAGCUAGAUUCUGUCAACAAAAAGGUGCAGUUUAAUCCACAGCCACAGACUGACUUCAGGAAAAAGCACAUACAAGCAAAACCACGCCCUCAUCCUUCAGGGUGAGUUUCAGACUGAAAACUGAUACAAAUCUCUUUGAGAUUGCAAAGUCCGAGGAAGCUUCAAAAUCUCCAAAAAAGGAUUGAUUGGGUUGGGAUGAAUGCUUGGGCCCCACUUUGUAAUUCUUAUUUAAUGGAUUUUUUAGAAAUUUCUUCAAAUUUGUAAUUUUGGUUUUGGUGUUGGGAUGGUCAUUUGCUGCUUUCUUUUCUUUUUUUAUAUUUUGUAAAUAGAGUAAUCUUACCGUUGAGGUUUAGAUGUAUGUGCUUCAGCAAAAGGAUGCAAUAGAUGUUAUCAUUGGAUCUCCAUCAAUGAAGUUUCUCUAGGUUUUUUUUUUAAAAUUUUUUUAUUUUU